UACGGAGGGGGCUAGCGUUGUUCGGAAUCACUGGGCGUAAAGGGCGCGUAGGCGGGCUGGUCAGUCGGGGGUGAAAUCCUGGGGCUCAACCGGAGAAGUGCCUUUGAUACUGCCAGGCUUGAGGGAGGUAGGGGCGUGUGGAACUUCCAGUGGAGCGGUGAAAUGCGUUGAUAUUGGAAGGAACGCCGGUGGCGAAAGCGACACGCUGGGUCUCUUCUGACGCUGAGGCGCGAAAGCUAGGGGAGCGAACGGG
rnacentral:rRNA from 1 species